rnacentral:rRNA from 1 species
AAAGUAGCUUGCUACUCGAGCUUAGUGGCGGAAGGGUUAGUAAUACAUGGGUAACCUGCCUCUAACUUGGGAAUAACGGCUGGAAACGGCCGCUAAUACCGAAUGUGGUGGGAAGUGGCAUCGCUUCAUCAUUAAAGUGGGGGAUCGUAAGACCUCGCGGUUAGAGAGGGGCCCAUGGGAUAUCAGCUUGUUGGUGAGGUAAAGGCUCACCAAGGCUAUGACGUCUAGGCGGAUUGAGAGAUUGACCGCCAACACUGGGACUGAGACACUGCCCAGACUCCUACGGGAGGCUGCAGUCGAGAAUCAUUCGCAAUGGGCGAAAGCCUGACGAUGCGACGCUGCGUGAGUGACGAAGGCCUUCGGGUCGUAAAACUCUUUCGCCAGGGAACAAGGGAAGGUGACUAAUAUUCACCUGACUUGAGCGUACCUGGUAAAGAAGCACCGGCUAACUCCGUGCCAGCAGCUGCGGUAAUACGGAGGGUGCAAGCGUUAAUCGGAUUUAUUGGGCGUAAAGGGGGCGCAGGCGGGAAAGUAAGUCAGAUGUGAAAUUCCGAGGCUCAACCUCGGAGCUGCAUUUGAAACUACUUUUCUUGAGGAUAGGCGGAGAAAACGGAAUUCCACAAGUAGCGGUGAAAUGCGUAGAUAUGUGGAAGAAUACCCGUGGCGAAGGCGGUUUUCUAGAUUAUUCCUGACGCUGAGGCCCGAAAGCUAGGGGAGCGAACAGGAUUAGAUACCCUGGUAGUCCUAGCCGUAAACGAUGUGUACUUGGUGUAGAUGGUCUCAACCCCAUCUGUGCCGGAGCUAACGCGUUAAGUACACCGCCUGGGGAGUACGCUCGCAAGGGUGAAACUCAAAAGAAUUGAUGGGGACCCGCACAAGCAGUGGAGCAUGUGGUUUAAUUCGAUGCACCGCGAAGAACCUUACCUGGACUUGACAUGUAGCGGACCGCUCUAGAAAUGGAGUUUUCCUUCGGGACUGCUACACAGGUGCUGCAUGGCUGUCGUCAGCUCGUGCCGUGAGGUGUUGGGUUAAGUCCCGCAACGAGCGCAACCCUUGUCGUUAGUUGCCAACAGUUAAGCUGGGAACUCUAACGAGACUGCCUGGGUUAACCAGGAGGAAGGUGAGGAUGACGUCAAGUCAGCAUGGCCCUUAUGUCCAGGGCUACACACGUGCUACAAUGGUCGGUACAGAGGGCAGCAAAACCGAGAGGUCAAGCAAAUCCUAGAAAGCCGGCCCCAGUUCGGAUUGUAGUCUGCAACUCGACUACAUGAAGUCGGAAUUGCUAGUAAUGGCGUGUCAGCAACAACGCCGUGAUACGUUCCCGGGUCUUGUACACACCGCCCGUCACAUCAUGGAAGUUGGUCUUACCCGACGUCGCUGACUCAACCGCAAGGAGAGAAGCGCCUAAGGUGAGG